AAACUUUCAACAACGGAUCUCUUGGCUCUGGCAUCGAUGAAGAACGCAGCGAAAUGCGAUAAGUAAUGUGAAUUGCAGAAUUCAGUGAACCAUCGAAUCUUUGAACGCACAUUGCGCCCGCCAGUAUUCUGGCGGGCAUGCCUGUUCGAGCGUCAUUU
rnacentral:rRNA from 8 species